rnacentral:tRNA from 1 species
GUGUGUGGACCUCUGUGGUAGAGCACUUGCCUUACAUUUAUGAGGCCCUAGGUUCCAUCCCCAGCACAUACA